AACGAACGCUGGCGGUAGGCCUAACACAUGCAAGUCGAACGGCAGCACAGGAGAGCUUGCUCUCUGGGUGGCGAGUGGCGGACGGGUGAGGAAUACAUCGGAAUCUACCUUUUCGUGGGGGAUAACGUAGGGAAACUUACGCUAAUACCGCAUACGACCUACGGGUGAAAGUGGGGGACCGCAAGGCCUCACGCGAUUAGAUGAGCCGAUGUCCGAUUAGCUAGUUGGCGGGGUAAUGGCCCACCAAGGCGACGAUCGGUAGCUGGUCUGAGAGGAUGAUCAGCCACACUGGAACUGAGACACGGUCGAGACUCCUACGGGAGGCAGCAGUGGGGAAUAUUGGACAAUGGGCGCAAGCCUGAUCCAGCCAUACCGCGUGGGUGAAGAAGGCCUUCGGGUUGUAAAGCCCUUUUGUUGGGAAAGAAAUCCUGUUGAUUAAUACUCGGUGGGGAUGACGGUACCCAAAGAAUAAGCACCGGCUAACUUCGUGCCAGCCGCCGCCGUAAGAC
rnacentral:rRNA from 1 species